GGACCCGCACAAGCAGUGGAGCAUGUGGUUUAAUUCGACGCAACGCGAAGAACCUUACCAGCGUUUGACAUGGGAAGUGCCGGUUACAGAAUCGUAACCUUCAGUUCGGCUGGCUUCCACACAGGUGCUGCAUGGCUGUCGUCAGCUCGUGUCGUGAGAUGUUGGUUAAGUCCCGCAACGAGCGCAACCCUUAUCGUUAGUUACUAACAGUUCGGCUGAGGACUCUAGCGAAACUGCCGGUGAUAAGCCGGAGGAAGUGGGGAUGACGUCAAGUCCUCAUGGCCCUUACACGCUGGGCUACACACGUGCUACAAUGGUAACUACAACGGGACGCAAUACCGCGAGGUGGAG
rnacentral:rRNA from 1 species